UUAGAGUUUGAUCCUGGCUCAGGAUGAACGCUGGCGGCAUGCCUAAUACAUGCAAGUCGAACGAGAGGAAGGAAAGCUUGCUUUUCUGAAUCUAGUGGCGAACGGGUGAGUAACACGUAGGUAACCUGCCCAUGUGCCCGGGAUAACUUCUGGAAACGGAUGCUAAAACCGGAUAGGUAGCAGACAAGCAUUUGACUGCUAUUAAAGUGGCUAAGGCCAUGAACAUGGAUGGACCUGCGGUGCAUUAGCUAGUUGGUGAGGUAACGGCCCACCAAGGCGACGAUGCAUAGCCGGCCUGAGAGGGCGGACGGCCACAUUGGGACUGAGACACGGCCCAAACUCCUACGGGAGGCAGCAGUAGGGAAUUUUCGUCAAUGGGGGGAACCCUGAACGAGCAAUGCCGCGUGAGUGAGGAAGGUCUUCGGAUCGUAAAGCUCUGUUGUAAGAGAAAAACGACAUUCAUAGGGAAUGAUGAGUGAGUGAUGGUAUCUUACCAGAAAGUCACGGCUAACUACGUGCCAGCAGCCGCGGUAAUACGUAGGUGGCGAGCGUUAUCCGGAAUGAUUGGGCGUAAAGGGUGCGUAGGUGGCAGAACAAGUCUGGAGUAAAAGGUAUGGGCUCAACCCGUACUGGCUCUGGAAACUGUUCAGCUAGAGAACAGAAGAGGACGGCGGAACUCCAUGUGUAGCGGUAAAAUGCGUAGAUAUAUGGAAGAACACCGGUGGCGAAGGCGGCCGUCUGGUCUGUUGCUGACACUGAAGCACGAAAGCGUGGGGAGCAAAUAGGAUUAGAUACCCUAGUAGUCCACGCCGUAAACGAUGAGAACUAGGUGUUGGGGGAAUAACUCAGUGCCGCAGUUAACGCAAUAAGUUCUCCGCCUGGGGAGUAUACACGCAAGUG
rnacentral:rRNA from 1 species